rnacentral:rRNA from 1 species
AGAGUUUGAUCCUGGCUCAGAGCGAACGCUGGCGGCAUGCUUAACACAUGCAAGUCGCACGGGCAGGGGCAACUCUGUCAGUGGCGGACGGGUGAGUAACGCGUAGGUAUCUAUCCUUGGGUGGGGGACAACUGUGGGAAACUACAGCUAAUACCGCAUGACGACUGAGGUCCAAAGCAGCGAUGCGCCUGGGGAGGAGCCUGCGUACGAUUAGCUAGUUGGUGGGGUAAAGGCCUACCAAGGCGACGAUCGUUAGCUGGUCUGAGAGGAUGAUCAGCCACAUUGGGACUGAGACACGGCCCAAACUCCUACGGGAGGCAGCAGUGGGGAAUAUUGGACAAUGGGCGCAAGCCUGAUCCAGCAAUGCCGCGUGUGUGAAGAAGGUCUUCGGAUUGUAAAGCACUUUCGACGGGGACGAUGAUGACGGUACCCGUAGAAGAAGCCCCGGCUAACUUCGUGCCAGCAGCCGCGGUAAUACGAAGGGGGCUAGCGUUGCUCGGAAUGACUGGGCGUAAAGGGCGCGUAGGCGGAUGGCACAGUCAGAUGUGAAAUUCCCGGGCUUAACCUGGGGGCUGCAUUUGAUACGUGUUGUCUAGAGUGAGGAAGAGGGUCGUGGAAUUCCCAGUGUAGAGGUGAAAUUCGUAGAUAUUGGGAAGAACACCGGUGGCGAAGGCGGCGACCUGGUCCUUGACUGACGCUGAGGCGCGAAAGCGUGGGGAGCAAACAGGAUUAGAUACCCUAGUAGUCC